rnacentral:tRNA from 1 species
GGGGAUUUAGCUCAGUGGCAUAAGCACCUGCCUUGCAAGCAGGAGGUCAUGAGUUCAGUCGCCG